UACGUAGGGUGCGAGCGUUAAUCGGAUUUACUGGGCGUAAAGCGUGCGCAGGCGGCCCGUUAAGACAGGUGUGAAAUCCCUGGGCUCAACCUAGGAAUUGCGCUUGUGACUGGCGGGCUCGAGUACGGUAGAGGGGGGUAGAAUUCCAGGUGUAGCAGUGAAAUGCGUAGAGAUCAGGAGGAACACCGAUGGCGAAGGCAGCCCCCUGGGCCUGUACUGACGCUCAUGCACGAAAGCGUGGGGAGCAAACAGG
rnacentral:rRNA from 1 species